AUGGGGGUCAGCUGGAACCUAAAGGGAGCCGGGAGCACCAGAGGGAGGAGGUUCCCAGCACCAAGGAGGGCCCCAGAGAAGGCCAGAGACAGGCGGCGGCGUCUCCGGGGAGGGGGGCAUCUCCAGGAGGAACGUGGCAGAAGACUGGCGAGGGAGGAGGGGCCACGCUCUGAAGGGCCCAGAGGUGAAAGGGAGCCCCUGGAGUGGACCGAGCGGGAGGCAGGUCGGGCACACGAACUACAGGGAAUUGCUUUGGUGGCUGAAGGAAGGAUCGGAGUGAGGAGAGAGCCGGGCGGAGCUAGCCGGCCACAGGCUCCUGCAAUAGCCCAGGCUCCAAGGGAUGGGGGCAAAGAGGAAGGAAGUCAAUCGGCCUUUCUUGGUCUGUUGGUCUAUCGUCAUACUGGAUCUGCAGGGGGGAGACCUGCAGGGGUCCAGGAUGGCUCUUUGAGGAGGCUGCGCCCCUCGGCAGCAAUGGGGGGGGACGGAGGGGGGAAGAUGCACCUUCAUGCCCUGAAGCCACUCUUAGAGAGGGAAAGGUGGGGUCUGAGGGAAGAGAGCAGCGGCCAGACCCUCCUCCCUUCCCUGCCUCAGCCUUCAAGCUCCUCCAGGGGCCUGAGGUCGGCUGGGAGGCACUGCUCGUCCAGUGGUUACUGCGAGGGAGGCCUGAGCCCAGCCGCUGUCCCGUGCGUCAGCGCAGCCGGCCCUGCGCCUGCCUGCCAGUCUUAGCUUCUGCCUAGACGUCAGGCCGGUCUUAAAGCGCAGACGAGAUGAUGUAACCCGAAGAAGGAAUCCAGAGCGGCUUACAGAGUGCAGACAGAACAUCCCCAAACAUUCCAGCACGAAAUGCGACUCGGGACCCCUUGAGGGACGGCAAAGGCCAAAGUGCAGCGAGGAGGGUCCGAGCCUCCUCCUCCACCACGUGCGGCCCUGGUGCCCGGGUCUCUGCCCCUCCAGGAGUGGCCAUCAGGACUCUGAGGCUUAUCCGCCUUCGAUCCCUUCUUUCUCAGCUGGGCAAAGAGCACGGCGUUCAAGCAUGGGAUCGGAGACGCAAGCCUGGCUUGUCCCAUCCCACCCAGGGACUGGGGAAGGUCCCCGAGCCUCUCUGUUGGCCUAGGAGAGUCCUGCUCUGAGUGGCCCCGACUCCUCUUCCAUCUCUCCACCCUGUGACCGAAGUGCAUCCCGAGAAAAGCUCUUUUCGCACUCACAAAGCAGGUAACAAGAACCUCAGUCUGUACUCUGCGGGCUCCAGCGUUUGCCUCAGUUUACCUUUCUCCCGUUUGCCAUCCAACUUCUCUGGACAGCUUCCCGUCUCCCUCCCAGCAAAAACAGUAUUUACCAGGGGCAAGCACGUGGCCAGACCUUCACCCCUUCGCUCUCCAGCCCCCUUCAGGGGUCGCCUCCUCCCACUGGCACGUGAGCCCCUUUGCUGGGCACGGCGGUGCCCACUUCUAACCCCCGCCCUGGAGGUGCUGAGACAUGGAUCUCGCCAACUCCAGAGUUCAGAGCUACGGCUGGGCUGGCACUGCUGGGAUGUCCUUGCCAAGUGGGGCACAACGUGGCGAGUGCAAGAAGCCUCCAAGCUGGGUGAGGAGGACUGGACCCAGCCAGGGGUCACCACCAGAGCAGACCAAAGGUUCUUGGCAGCACGCCAGGUGGGGUGCGAUAAAGUCUCAUCCAUCCUUGGUGGCUUCCAACGUGCCGGUCACUGGGUCAGGCGGUACCACAG
rnacentral:lncRNA from 1 species